GAUGGUAUCCAUUUGAAAAGAAGCCAUGUGAAGAUGCAUUGUACCAAAUGCAAGAAGGAAGGCCACAACAAAAGAAAAUGCCCUGAAGAUCCUGCUGUUAGGGAGAGAUUGGCCAAUCCAAAGAAAAGAGUUAGGGCAAAGGC